rnacentral:rRNA from 1 species
GGGUUAGUAGGCUGGUUAUGCCACUGGUAUGUACUGGUCUUACUGAUUCCUCCUUCCUGAUGAACUGUAAUGCCAUUAAUUUGGUGUUGCAGGGAGUCUGGACUGUUACUUUGAAAAAAUUAGAGUGUUUAAAGCAGGCUAACGCUUGAAUACAUUAGCAUGGAAUAAUGAAAUAGGACGUUCGAUCCUAUUUUGUUGGUUUCUAGGAUUGACGUA